rnacentral:rRNA from 1 species
UACGUAGGGGGCAAGCGUUGUCCGGAAUCAUUGGGCGUAAAGAGCGCGUAGGUGGCUUCGUAAGUCCGUUGUGAAAGUCAAAGGCUCAACCUUUGAAUGCCGAUGGAUACUGCGGAGCUAGAGUACGGAAGAGGCGAGUGGAAUUCCUGGUGUAGCGGUGGAAUGCGCAGAUAUCAGGAGGAACACCAAUAGCGAAGGCAGCUCGCUGGGACGUUACUGACACUAAGGCGCGAAAGCGUGGGGAGCGAACAGG